UGCUUUUAGAAGUAGGCAAGGGCUUUUCUCACUGUAGCGGGAGUUACUAUAGUUUAAUGAAAAUUUUGAAAUACCGGGUUGUGUCCUCUCUUCCUUUCAGCAAUUACACCACAUUGCCAUCAAACCCUUCUCUUCCGUGUUGAAAAGUGAAGCCUCCAGCGCUGCGCAAUGAACACGCACUUGCAUCUCGCUGACUGCCUCCUCUCAUUCGUGUUUGAAGCCUCAAUCCAAUCCCCAGAUUUUCGUACCAGGCUCUGAAAAUCGAAAGCUUUGCAGAAAUGAUUUGUUUUCAGAAAGAUUUUCCUAAAAUAUUAGGUAACUGAACUUCUUACUGGAAUAUACGGGGACAUGCACAUCGUGAUAGGCAUUUUGUUCACGGUGAAGAAAGAGAAGGUGAUGGGUCAAGUCAUGGGAUAGAGAUGGAUGAUGAUGUAGAAGAAGAAUAUCAUGGUCAUGGUGCACAAGAAAUGGAAAUAAUAAGAAAUAGCAUUACUCAAAGUUUGAUGAGUGCGAGUAAUAACUUGAACAUUUGAAUGUGUUAUGAAUUUUUUUGUGGUUACUUGAUGUGAACCAGAAACCAAUUGUUAUUAAUGUUACUAAUAAAUUUGUAUAAGUUAUUU
rnacentral:lncRNA from 1 species